UUGAUACCUACUCCUGAUUUAUGAUAUAAAUAAUUUUCUCAGAACUUCAGAGCACAGAGAGGUCCCUGUGGGGGUGACAAAAUGCACCUACCUCACAGCUCAAUCUCUUAAUUUGGUUUCCAGGUGCUACUGUCACUCACGAUGUCCAUAACAAGAAGAUGGAAAAUAAUCCGACCCCACCUGAGGGCUUCUUGCCAAAAUCUGCUGCACCAGGGGUGAUGAAUAUGUCAGGAGCUGGUAUUCCACCCAACCAAAUGGGUUCUCCCUGUGACGACUUCACUAAAGAUGACCUGAUUCAUAAACCUGGUAGUAAUUCACUUGGAGGAGGAACCAAAAGCCACAGUGUCUCUGCAGAAUAUGAAAGAGUUUUCACUUUGAAGAAGUGCAAUGACCUCUUGCAGUCAAGAAACAGUUUGUUGAAUAUACCAUCAAGGAAGCUGAAAGUGCAUGGCAAGAACUCCAUUCAUCUUAGUACAGCAUGAGGGUCCCCAGUUGAAGAGACCAGCACAGAACUGAGUGCUCCUAGACAAACAAUUUCUGCAACAGGAGGUGGAUCAAAGAAGAAAGGAUGGGCUUCUGAUUGCCUGCACCUAGAACAACAAAGUCUCCUUUCAAGGGGACUGACUCAGAAAACCAGUUCACAUUAACAGUAGAGAGUCUACUGAAAGCUAAAGCCCACAUCUCCUUUGGGGCGAUGUUCCUGCCCCACAAGAGCAUGUGGGCCUGUGGCAGAGCUCUUCUGUGCAUUGAGUGUCUCCCUUGUGUACCAGGUUUCCC
rnacentral:lncRNA from 1 species